UACAGAGGGUGCGAGCGUUGUCCGGAUUUACUGGGCGUAAAGAGCGUGUAGGCGGCCAAACAGGUCCGUUGUGAAAACUGGAGGCUCAACCUCCAGACGUCGACGGAAACCGUGUGGCUAGAGUCCGGAAGAGGAGAGUGGAAUUCCUGGUGUAGCGGUGAAAUGCGCAGAUAUCAGGAAGAACACCAAUGGCGAAGGCAGCUCUCUGGGACGGUACUGACGCUGAGACGCGAAAGCGUGGGGAGCGAACAGG
rnacentral:rRNA from 1 species